AGAAAUAAAGCUCUGUGAGUUAUUCAUUUACAUUGAGUGGGAUCUUAAUAAAAGAUAUUUUUA
rnacentral:tRNA from 1 species